CAAUAGCGUAUAUUUAAGUUGUUGCAGUUAAAAAGCUCGUAGUCGGAUUUUGGCUGAGAACGAUCGGUCCGCCGUUAGGUGUGCACUGAUUGGUCUCAGCUUCCUGGUGAGGAGGUGUGCUUCACGGCCACUUAGUCACCGUGGUUACUUUGAAAAAAUUAGAGUGUUCAAAGCGGGCUUACGCUUGAAUAUAUUAGCAUGGAAUAACACCAUAGGACUCCUGUCCUAUUUCGUUGGUCUCGGGACGGGAGUAAUGAUUAAGAGGAACAGUUGGGGGCAUUCGUAUCUCAUUGUCAGAGGUGAAAUUCUUGGAUUUAUGAAAGACGAACUUCUGCGAAAGCAUUUGCCAAGGAUGUUUUCAUUGA
rnacentral:rRNA from 1 species